AUGAGGUUGGAGAAGUGCUGGUUCUGCUCCUCCACCGUCUACCCCGGCCACGGUAUCCAGUUCGUCCGCAACGACGCCAAGAUCUUUCGGUUCUGCCGAUCAAAAUGCCACAAGAACUUCAAGAUGAAGAGGAACCCUCGCAAGGUUAAGUGGACCAAGGCGUACAGGCGCCUGCGUGGAAAGGACAUGACACAGGAUGCCACGUUUGAGUUCGAGAGGAAGAGGAACAGGCCGGAGCGCUACGACCGUAACGUCACUGAGCAGACUCUGAAGGCCAUCCCGCUUAUCACGAAGAUCAGACAUGAACGGCAGAAGAAACACAUUACAGAGAGACAGAAGGGUGGUAAGAGCAUGGUGCGAAAGAGUGACGCUAAGGAGCUGGAUCAGUUUAUCGACAUGGUUCCCAAGCAGGAAACCGAGAACUAUGUAGCCAAGCAGAAGGUUCUAGUUUCUCAGCUGAAGACCGAAGAGAAUCUUAUGGAAGAGUAA
rnacentral:rRNA from 1 species